GUCCUCUCCUCUCCUGUCAGGGUUAGUAUAGUCAGGAGGUCCUCUCCUCUCCUGUCAGGGUUAGUAUAGUCAGGGGUCCUCUCCUCUCCUGUCAGGGUUAGUAUAGUCAGGAGGUCCUCUCCUCUCCUGUCAGGGUUAGUAUAGUAUAGUCAGGGGUCCUCUCCUCUCCUGUCAGGGUUAGUAUAGUCAGAGGUCCUCUCCUCUCCUGUCAGGGUUAGUAUAGUAUAGUCAGGGGGUCCUCUCCUGUCAGGGUUAGUAUAGUCAGGGGUCCUCUCCUCUCCUGUCAGGGUUAGUAUAGUAUAGUCAGGGGGUCCUCUCCUCUCCUGUCAGGGUUAGUAUAGUCAGGGGUCCUCUCCUCUCCUGUCAGGGUUAGUAUAGCCAGGAGGUCCUCUCCUCUCCUGUAAGGGUUAGUAUAGUCAGGAGGUCCUCUCCUCUCCUGUCAGGGUUAGUAUAGUAUAGUCAGAGGUCCUCUCCUCUCCUGUCAGGGUUAGUAUAGUCAGGAGGUCCUCUCCUCUCCUGUCAGGGUUAGUAUAGUCAGAGGUCCUCUCCUCUCCUGUCAGGGUUAGUAUAGUCAGGGGUCCUCUCCUCUCCUGUCAGAGUUAGUAUAGUCAGGGGUCCUCUCCUCUCCUGUCAGGGUUAGUAUAGUAUAGUCAGGAGGUCCUCUCCUCUCCUGUCAGGGUUAGUAUAGUCAGGAGGUCCUCUCCUCUCCUGUCAGGGUUAGUAUAGUAUAGUCAGGAGGUCCUCUCCUCUCCUGUCAGGGUUAGUAUAGUCAGGGGUCCUCUCCUCUCCUGUCAGGGUUAGUAUAGUCAGGAGGUCCUCUCCUCUCCUGUCAGGGUUAGUAUAGUCAGGAGGUCCUCUCCUCUCCUGUCAGGGUUAGUAUAGUCAGGGGUCCUCUCCUCUCCUGUCAGGGUUAGUAUAGUCAGGGGUCCUCUCCUCUCCUGUCAGGGUUAGUAUAGUAUAGUCAGGGGUCCUCUCCUCUCCUGUCAGGGUUAGUAUAGUAUAGUCAGAGGUCCUCUCCUCUCCUGUCAGGGUUAGUAUAGUCAGGGGUCCUCUCCUCUCCUGUCAGGGUUAGUAUAGUCAGGAGGUCCUCUCCUCUCCUGUCAGGGUUAGUAUAGUCAGGAGGUCCUCUCCUCUCCUGUCAGGGUUAGUAUAGUCAGGAGGUCCUCUCCUCUCCUGUCAGGGUUAGUAUAGUAUAGUCAGGAGGUCCUCUCCUCUCCUGUCAGGGUUAGUAUAGUCAGAGGUCGUCUCCUCUCUGAGAGACGGGCGGUAAAGAUGAUCUCAACCCAGUGGGCCAUGCAGGUCCUGGAAUUUGGGCAGAGCCUAUCAGGAGGCAGCUUCCACUAUCAGCCAACCAAUCAGAAGGAUAUGAUGGCUCUCUACUUCCUCAUUUCCUUUGUAAUAAACAGGAGGCAGAGAGAUCACACCCCCUGGUCUGUUCUCUAUUACAGACAGACAGAUACAGAUACUAUGCUCCCAUUGAGGUGCGUUGAGACAGGCAGACAGACAGACGGUAGGACCUCUUUGCGUCGUAGAGGACCUGUUUCCCUAUCAGCCUCUCAGUGUAGUUACCACGGAAAUGAUUAUCCACUCCACCACAUCAUCAUUGCUUAUCACCGACCUGUGGCACAUCACAGACAUUACCUUCAUUAUACACACGCCUGCCUGCUCUUUUUCAUUUCCUGUUAAACCAUUCACCACCUAUCUACUAGAGACAGGAGGAGGACAGAAGCUGUCAUGUACUGGAUUUUACCAUAUCUUAUAGUCUGUCUAGACCUGCUGUUGCUAAGUUACUGGAAAACAGCAACAUGGCUUAACUGUAAGGCAUUUUCUCCUUAGAAGGAAAGAUAAUACUGUGGCGACA
rnacentral:lncRNA from 1 species